rnacentral:rRNA from 1 species
UUGGAGGGCAAGUCUGGUGCCAGCAGCCGCGGUAAUUCCAGCUCCAAUAGCGUAUAUUAAAGUUGUUGCAGUUAAAAAGCUCGUAGUUGAAUUUCGGGGUUAGUAGGUUGGUCAUGCCUCUGGUAUGUACUGGUCUCACUGAUUCCUCCUUCCUGAUGAGCCGUAAUGCCAUUAAUUUGGUGUUGCGGGGAAUUUGGACUGUUACUUUGAAAAAAUUAGAGUGUUUAAAGCAAGCUAACGCUUGAAUACAUUAGCAUGGAAUAAUGAAAUAGGACGUUCGAUCCUAUUUUGUUGGUUUCUAGGAUUGACGUAAUGAUUAAUAGGGAUAGUUGGGGGCAUUAGUAUUCAAUUGUCAGAGGUGAAAUUCUUGGAUUUAUUGAAGACUAACUACUGCGAAAGCAUUUGCCAAGGAUGUUUUCAUUAAUCAAGAACGAAAGUUAGGGGAUCGAAGACGAUCAGAUACCGUCGUAGUCUUAACCAUAAACUAUGCCGACUAGGGAUCGGAUGAUGUUAAUUUUUUAAUGACUCAUUCGGCGCCUUACGGAAAC